CGUGAGGCGGUUGGGCCCUGGAACCACAGCAGAGCAGUUGGCAGAGACCUCCCCCCGGCAGAGGCCCCCCCAGUACCGGCCCUGGGGGAGGGGGCCGUGCUGGGGGCAGGGACAGAAGGCCCUGGCAGAGGACGGGGCCCCCAGGACAGGGCACACCGGGACGGCCCCUGCCAGCAAGGGGAAGCAGAGGCACUUACGACCCCCUCCAAGGAGGAGCCCACACCAGCGCGUCUGCCCAAGGUGCCCUGGGCCUUGGGGGCACAUGAGGUCCAGGCCAGGCCAGGGGGCCCGUGAGGCCCCCAGGGGUCAGCAUGGUGUCCCCAGGCAGCCCUGGCCUCUCAUCCUGCUGGGUCUGGCGGUGGGCGCCCACGGCCUGCUGCCCCCGACGGCAGUGCCUCGGAACACAGCCCCCCGCGUGGAAGCCCCGGCAGGAAAGAGCCCGUGGAGCCUGUGGGACAGGCUCCCGCUCCGGCCCGGCCCCCGGGCGACAGGCCCCAGGUGCUGGCCUGGCGUCUGGGCUGAGGCUCCCGUGCCGUGGUUCCUCUUUGGCGGCGGGACCAAGGUCAUUUUCCCAGGUCGGCCCAAGUCCGCACCCUCGGUCACUCUGUUCCCGCCCUCCAAGGACGAGCUCAGCACCAACAAGGCCACCCUGGUGUGUCUCAUCAGCGACUUCAACCCGGGCAACGUGACCGUGGCCUGGAAGGCAGACGGCAGCACUGUCACCCGGGGCGUGGUGACCACCCAGGCCUCCAAACAGAGCAACAGCAAGUACGCGGCCAGCAGCUACCUGACCCUGACGGGCAGCGAAUGGAAAUCUAAGGGCAGUUACAGCUGCGAGGUCACGCACGAGGGGAGCACCGUGGCGAAGACAGUGAAGCCCUCGGAGUGCUCUUAGGGCCCCGGGCCCCCACCCUCCUUGAGCCCCGGGGUCUCCCCUCCCACCGCGGUCCCCUGCAUCCCUUCCUCCUGCACCCAAUCUGCUUGCAACAGAACGUCCUCAUUGUCAUU